AUUGAACGCUGGCGGCAGGCCUAACACAUGCAAGUCGAGCGGAGCGGCGGACGGGUGAGUAAUGCCUAGGAAUCUGCCUGGUAGCGGGGGAUAACGUCCGGUAACGGGCGCUAAUACCGCAUUCUAUCAGAUGAGCCUAGGGCGGAUUAGCUAGUUGGUGGGGUAAAGGCCUACCAAGGCGACGAUCCGUAAAUGGUCUGAGAGGAUGAUCAGUCACGCUGGAACUGGGGUACGGUCCAGACUCCUACGGGAGGCAGCAGUGGGGAAUCUUCCGCAAUGGACGAAAGUCUGACGGAGCAACGCCGCGAGAGUGAUGACGGCCUUCGGGUUGUAAAGCUCUGUUAGUCGGGACGCGAUACCGGAAUAGAAAGCCACGGCUAGCUACGUGCCAGCAGCCGCGGUAAUUC
rnacentral:rRNA from 1 species